rnacentral:rRNA from 1 species
AUUGAACGCUGGCGGCAGGCUUAACACAUGCAAGUCGAGCGGGGGAAGGUAGCUUGCUACCGGACCUAGCGGCGGACGGGUGAGUAAUGCUUAGGAAUCUGCCUAUUAGUGGGGGACAACAUCUCGAAAGGGAUGCUAAUACCGCAUACGUCCUACGGGAGAAAGCAGGGGAUCUUCGGACCUUGCGCUAAUAGAUGAGCCUAAGUCGGAUUAGCUAGUUGGUGGGGUAAAGGCCUACCAAGGCGACGAUCUGUAGCGGGUCUGAGAGGAUGAUCCGCCACACUGGGACUGAGACACGGCCCAGACUCCUACGGGAGGCAGCAGUGGGGAAUAUUGGACAAUGGGGGGAACCCUGAUCCAGCCAUGCCGCGUGUGUGAAGAAGGCCUUAUGGUUGUAAAGCACUUUAAGCGAGGAGGAGGCUACUUUAGUUAAUGCCUAGAGAUAGUGGACGUUACUCGCAGAAUAAGCACCGGCUAACUCUGUGCCAGCAGCCGCGGUAAAAC